rnacentral:sRNA from 1 species
AUGUACCCAUGUAGGCUCCGGUUUCUCCGCGCCUUCCGCACCUACCUGACAGCUGCUCGCCACGUUUUGCUAGCC